rnacentral:rRNA from 1 species
CUCCGACUCAGAAGUUUGAUCAUGGCUCAGAAUAAACGUUGGCGGCGUGCUUAACACAUGCAAGUCGAGCGAGAAAAGUUUUCGGACUUAGUACAGCGGCAAACGGGUGAGUAACACGUGGGAAUCUACCUUUAGUGAAGAAUACCCUCGAGAAAUCGAGGUUAAUGCUGCAUACGUCUCGCAAGAGAGAAAGAUGGCCUCUUUGCUGUCGCUGAAAGAUGAGCCUGCGUACUAUUAGCUAGUUGGUGGGGUAAAGGCCUACCAAGGCUAUGAUGGUUAGCCGGCCUGAGAGGGUGUACGGCCACACUGGAACUUAGACACGGUCCAGACUCCUACGGGAGGCAGCAGUGAGGAAUAUUGCGCAAUGGGCGAAAGCCUGACGCAGCGACGCCGCGUGGAGGAUGAAGGUCUUAGGAUUGUAAACUUCUGUUAAGCGGGAAGAAAGACAUGGUUUUAAUAGAACCGUGGGAUGACGGUACCGCUAGAGAAAGCACCGGCUAACUUCGUG